rnacentral:misc_RNA from 1 species
AACGCACAUUGCGCCCCUUGGUAUUCCGGGGGGCAUGCCUGUUCGAGCGUCAUUACACCAAUCAAGCAUAGCUUGGCAUUAGGUCUUCGUCGCUGUUAAAAGCGGGCGGGCCUCAAACCUUUCGGCGAAGUCUCUUGGCUUUGGGCGUAGCAGAAUCUGUUAAAACGUUCAUUGUUAGUGGUCUUCUGCCGCCAAACGACCGCCUCUGGCGCUCAUUUUUUAAGGUUGACCUCGGAUCAGGUAGGAAUACCCGCUGAACUUAA